GUAACCAUUACCACUUCAAAAUUAACAGCAUCAUUGAGUUCCUGUGUCCCAACGUAUCUGUGGAGGUUAUUGUUCAGCAUAGUCAUUUAGUAAAAAAGUACUUGGAGGAAUCAUGGCGAAACGAUACCAACCCU
rnacentral:ribozyme from 1 species